UCAGGGCUUUAAGAAUAGCAUCUUUCCUAUUCACAUCAGACCAUUCAGCAUGUAAUCUUUUUAUCUCCUGCUGCAAAUACUUCUUGUGAUCCCAUCUUCAUCUGCUGGGUAUGUCCCACACCUCACACCUUUCCAUCUGUUGGCAUGGCUCUGUACAAAUAGCAGAUAAGACAGAGUAAUUAGGUGGAGGGGCAAGAGGAGCUCCAUGAGGGGUGAAGCUCAUAGCCCUGCAGUCCCAAACAUCAUGGGCAGGGCACAGCUGCAAAGAGGAACUGUCACCAGGCAUGGGACUGACUGCCUGUCAGUCUGCUGCAGUUGUGGAGGCCAAGAGAAGCAAAGGUCACAGGAAGCUCUACCAAGAAGCUGCCAAACAAGAAUCAGGCCCUUCUAGGGCAAAUGGUGAUAAACCAUUUGCCACCACCACUCCAGAUCUGGAUGGUCUUACAGACUCAGAAGAAUUCAGUUCACAUUUGGGUUUGCAAAGGGAGUCUGUCCAACAGGCACAGGAAUACCUUCAGGCUGAUUAUUCCUCUUCCUCACUGUAAUCAGGAGAAGGCAUCUAGCUGAUGCAGAAAAAUCAUGUUUGGUUCAGCUCACAGAGCUGUAUGAAAAAGUCUGUGCUCCCUGUAAGCCACUCAUGCACCUCAUGGCUCAGAAGAAAGACUGUGGUUCUAGCAAGAGGACCCAUCCCUUUGAACAAAUCACCUGCUGUUUUUAGCCCAGACACUGAGACAGAGAAGUACACCAAAUGAAAUAACAGAUGAAACACAGAUGUGGAAACCAAGACAACCGAGAACUGAUGGAGUUCAAAUGACAGAAAUAACCCUAACAGAUCAAUACCAGACUAGGCAGCCUGGAAGAACGUGUGGUCUCAAAUACUCGUCUAUCAGACUGAGAGCAGAAGUUACUUUCAUUUCAGAAAUGAUGAAGUCAUUCACAUGCCAGCUAUAAAACACAAAUGCCAGACCCUUGGCAUUGUGCAGCUACCUGACAAAGGCAUUAAGUUAGUUGGACUCAUUUGAAGCACAAAUCUUUUUAUAUUUUCAAAACACCAAGAGCUGUGCAAGUAUUCAGGCUGCCAUGGCAACGUGGUACAUUUGUUCCUGAGUGUCAUUUCCCAUCACAAUUGGUUGGGAUUUUUCUUCAGAACUUUGCCCAACUUCAAAACUUUGGUUGCUGAGGCAACACCUCUCUUUGAAGGGAAGUGAUUGGCUCUGCCAAUCCGUGCCAAGGCAAGGGCUCUUCUGUGGAGACCGGUGUGCUACGGCAAGGGCGGAGGCGUUAGGGAGACUACAAAGAUAUCCAGGGAAGCAGGGGCAGAGGAAGGAAGUGUGCUCAGAAGGGCAACACACACCUUCAUGUGAGGCAGGUGGGAUGGGCUCUGAGUGGGAGGCUCCAGGCUUAGUACAACGAGCUAAUGUGCCACAUUACAUCAGUGAGGAGAUUAAGUGAGAUCUCGUUGAGAAAACACUUUGCCUUUGAUAUAUCCCGUGAGGAUCUGGUGGAGAUGCAUAGUCCUCACAAGACCUCGGCAAGAAAGGAAUUUGUCACUGGGCUUGUUUGACAAAAAAAUUGAUGGAGGCAAUGAAUGAACUACUGAAGGUCAUGCAGUAAAUUAGUGGCUGAUACAGGAAUAAGCCCCUGGGGGUGUUAUGUUUCAUUUGUAAGAUCAUCAUUUCUCUGAUAUUUAACUUAUGCUUAAACAGAAAACAAUUUUCCUUCUGCAGAGAAGCGCUGCAACCCCUUUUUCUCUCACUAACAUAUUACAGUGCUCACCUCUGCUAUUUGUCAACGUAUUUGGCUGAAAAGCACUGAGCAGGGAUUACUUUCUUUCCAGAUAGCGAGGCAAGGAUCCGGACUGUCCCUGACAUCCUGCUGCAAUAAAUGUGAUUACACCAAUGAGCAUAACAGACCUGGGGAGCACUUUGGGAAUAGGUUAGCCCUGGGACGUGGGAUUGCCCUGGCAUGCUUUACACAAGACCUCCCCUCCCAGCAGCUCCCACUGGCCCUGUGCUUCUCUUGCCUCCACCCAGUGGUGCCCUGGGCAGCCUCUCACUGUUCCUUUUGUGCUGCUGCCACCUUCACACGAGGCAGGCCACAAAAGGGACCAGGGAAAGCAGAGAAAAUAACUAGCAGAGAAGUUACAGUCAUUUGAACUGUACAGGUUUCACCUACCUCUUGCUGCUUGCUGUGACCCAGAACAGAACCAUUCACAUUCUCUUUGUGUCAUACGCAGGUGGAUGACAUGCUUUAAACAAAUUGCCAUUUCAACAGGAGCUCUCCAAAGCCCUUGGCUAUUGCAAUGCCUGUGAGCCAGCACUUUUUCCAGCCUGGAGGUGCACACAGGAUGUGCUGCUGAAAAUCAAAGCCAAUGAGUAAAUAUAUUGGGUUGGUACCAGCAAAGGCUUGACCAGAGGGCACAACUGACUCAUUAGGCCAGCUCUUGCCAGGUCUCCACUUUGCAGCCUGUAUCUCAGUGCCCCAGUUCCAGACUCUGGUGGUGACUCUGAUGCCUGUGUAUGGGUCACUGGAGAUUAGGCUUUGAUUUCUUUCCAUUUCAGCAUUUCAUAGCUAACUGCAUAAGCAGAGUCAGAUACAAACCCACUGCCUGGAUCACCACCUGCCUGUUCCAAAUCUGGGUCAAUGUAGCAUUAAAAAACAUAAACAGCCAACACAGCCCUGGCAGGCAGAUGCAAGAAGAAAAGUAAACAUGAGAAGUGCUCUUGAUGUCAACAAAGAAACAUACAGAGGCAGGGGCCAUCAAGCUUUGUCUUUCUCUUGCAUUUAAUUGUCCUUGAUGCUUCCUUCCUAUGGGUAUUCAAUUUGAAUUGCCUCUUCCAAGCUGAUGGAGGAGAUCAAAAAUGGCCUAUGGUGAUGGCAUGUCUGGCAGAGAACCUCCCUGGAGCUGCAUCCUCCACAUCUGGGACAUUUUCUUCUGUCCAAGUGACCACAAAAGCAGCCUGAGGAGUGACUCCCAUGGUGAUAAUAUUUUUAGGAUUGUCUACACCCCAAGACUUCUCUUGCCUGUCUGGGCACUGACUGCAGGAAUUUUCCCUCACUGGUCCUGGAUGUCUCACAGCCUUGGCUAUGAACCCCAAAUCAUGUGUAGCAGCAUUUACUGAGGUUAUGGGAUCCCGAGGCAGAGCAUUGCCUCUGCUCUCCCAGGGGUGACACAAAACAUCUCUGGGCCACACAUGAGCCAGGUGAAGAAGUCAAAGGAGGACCUAAUAGCUCCUAAAAUACUUCAGCACAUGGCAGAUGUUGAAAAAGACCUCAGGACCUGUUCCCUGCCCGCUGAUCCCAGUGUGGGGGGAACAAGUCCUCUCCCAUGCUCUAGCAUCUGAGAAUUGCCUAGGAGUCUCCUAUUCCCAAAGGCUGGACAUUCAGCAGCUGCUGGACAGCCCAGCAAACAAACAAGCAACUUCUGCAGAACGUGUCUGGACAUCAGCCACAUUAACCAUGAGUGCUGCUCUCCCCUGUGCAUACAACAGCUGUCCCUUGAAAUAAACAGGAAACCAUUUUAUCCUCGGAGGAGCAAGAAAGGUGAAGGGGUCACGACUGUAAAUUGUGUCUCUGGAUUUGGGGCGUGCAGCAGGAGCCACAAACAAAUAGGUCUUCUGGUUUUUCUCAUAGAGAAGGGACUCAAAUGCUGGGCUUCUCCUUCUGAGCUGGUCCUCUGACCUUGCAUUACCCUUUUCUCCAGUGCAGGAGAUGCAACAGCAGAAGCUUCACCCUCUUUGCAUGGGAUUUAUCUAUUACUCUAAGUUGCAUUUGUCCCUGAGUAGGGCACAGUAAAGCCAUGUUGGUGCAGCAUGGCAGUAGUGAUGUUACUGUGGAAAGCUUGGUAUUUUAAUUGCCUGACUCAGGAGAAGGCAGGUAAAUCAGACAUUGUAGUUCCCCCACUGCAGCAGCCAUGCUGCCAAAAGAUCUGGACUGAGCAUCAGGUAUGCAGGACUCUGGCACUGAGCAGUUUCUUAGAGCCCUGUGCUGCUGGCAGAGCUGUUUUCCUCUGUAUCUUUGGUUCUGCCCAGAUCAGGCCCUCACCCUUCACCUGCUGGACCCACAUGAAUGACCCACACCUCCCAGGCUGGUGACAGUCUGCACUCCUGGGCAGACCACCCAACACCUCCUCAUUACAAAACACAAAUGGAAGAUAUCUGAUAAUGUAUACUGUGCACCUUAUUCUGGUGCAAGGGUCUAGGACAGUGAUAUUACCUGUAUGCUA